rnacentral:rRNA from 1 species
ACGUAGGCACCAAGCGUUGUCCGGAUUUAUUGGGCGUAAAGAGCUCGUAGGCGGUUCGGUAAGUCGGGUGUGAAAACUUUGGGCUCAACCCAAAGCGUGCACUCGAUACUGCCGUGACUGGAGUUCGGUAGGGGAGCGGGGAAUUCCUAGUGUAGCGGUGAAAUGCGCAGAUAUUAGGAGGAACACCGGUGGCGAAGGCGCCGCUCUGGGCCGAUACUGACGCUGAGGAGCGAAAGCGUGGGGAGCAAACGGGA